rnacentral:sRNA from 1 species
UUUCAGUUUAAUUAUAGUUUUCUCUUUUUUUU